rnacentral:rRNA from 1 species
GUAGUCAUAUGCUUGUCUCAAAGAUUAAGCCAUACAUGUCUAAGUAUAAGCAAUUUGUACGGUGAAACUGCGAAUGGCUCAUUAAAUCAGUUAUCGUUUAUUUGAUAGUACCUUACUACAUGGAUACCUGUGGUAAUUCUAGAGCUAAUACAUGCUUAAAACCCCGACUUCGGAAGGGGUGUAUUUAUUAGAUAAAAAACCAAUGCCCUUCGGGGCUCCUUGGUGAUUCAUAAUAACUUAUCGAAUCGCAUGGCCUUGCGCCGGCGAUGGUUCAUUCAAAUUUCUGCCCUAUCAACUUUCGAUGGUAGGAUAGUGGCCUACCAUGGUGGCAACGGGUAACGGGGAAU